GUUGUCAAGAGCCUGGCACACAGGCCAGGGUAUCUCAAGAGCCUGGCACACAGGCCAGGGUAUCUCAAGAGCCUGGCACACAGGCCAAGGUAUCUCAAGAGCCUGGCACACAGGCCAGGGUAUCUCAAGAGCCUGGCACACAGGCCAGGGUAUCUCAAGAGCCUGGCACACAGGCCAGGGUAUCUCAAGAGCCUGGCACACAGGCCAGGGUAUCUCAAGAGCCUGGCACACAGGCCAGGGUAUCUCAAGAGCCUGGCACACAGGCCAGGGUAUCUCAAGAGCCUGGCACACAGGCCAGGGUAUCUCAAGAGCCUGGCACACAGGCCAGGGUAUCUCAAGAGCCUGGCACACAGGCCAGGGUAUCUCAAGAGCCUGGCACACAGGCCAGGGCAUAUCAAGAGCCAGACCAGA